rnacentral:rRNA from 1 species
UACGUAGGGGGCAAGCGUUGUCCGGAAUCAUUGGGCGUAAAGCGCGUGUAGGCGGCUUGGUAAGUCCGGUGUGAAACCUUGGGGCUCAACCCCAAGCCUGCAUCGGAAACUGCCUCGCUCGAGUCCGGGAGGGGAGAGCGGAAUUCCUAGUGUAGCGGUGAAAUGCGCAGAUAUCAGGAAGAACACCCGUGGCGAAAGCGGCUCUCUGGAACGGUACUGACGCUGAGACGCGAAAGCGUGGGGAGCGAACAGG